rnacentral:misc_RNA from 1 species
UGAACAGCUCGGUGCCCCAUAUCGAGCACUUAGAGCAUUUCGUCCUGUUAUAUUCCUGGAAACAUCUCAACUUGCUUCAUCCCCACUUCGUCAAGAUCUACCACCAAGUGUCAUACUGCACCAUCUCUACUCACGCGGUCCUGAAGAACUUCAAUCACCCUUGCAAAGAAAUAGACUUACUCCAAUGCAGUAUUCACUAUGGAUGGAUUCACAAGGCGAGGACCAGAUAUGGAAAGGCAUCAAAGCUACACUGGACGACUAUGCUUCUAAGGUACGUUCAAGAGGAGACAAAGAAUUCAGUCCUGUCUAUCCUUUAAUGAUAGAAAUUGGUUCUUCUUUAUCCGGGAAUCGUUAGAGGAACUUUGAGAAAUAUGCACAGCUCCAAUCAUCUUUUCUUUGUAUACGCCAUUCGUCACAAUUUUUGUUUGAAUAAUGUUUUUAUAGAUUUUGAACUCACAGAAGACCAUAUAUUAUGUUUCAUUUCCUUAGCCAUGAUUUAAAUAUUUCACAUUUGUAGUAUUGCCCUGAUAGUGCACAGAUUCAAAGAGAUGGAUUAUAGUAGUCAAUGCCUCAUUUUGUUCAAAACAUGAAGAAUGUUAUAUUG